rnacentral:rRNA from 1 species
UACGGGGGGGGCAAGCGGUUGUUCGGAAUUACUGGGCGUAAAGGGCUCGUAGGCGGCCAACUAAGUCAGACGUGAAAUCCCUCGGCUUAACCGGGGAACUGCGUCUGAUACUGGAUGGCUUGAGAUUGGGAGAGGGAUGCGGAAUUCCGAGGUGUAGCGGUGAAAUGCGUAGAUAUCUGGAGGAACACCGGUGGCGAAGGCGGCAUCCUGGACCAACACUGACGCUGAGUGAGCGAAAGCCAGGGGAGCAAACGGGG